rnacentral:rRNA from 1 species
CCUACGGGAGGCAGCAGUAGGGAAUCUUCCACAAUGGACGAAAGUCUGAUGGAGCAACGCCGCGUGAGUGAAGAAGGGUUUCGGCUCGUAAAGCUCUGUUGGUAGUGAAGAAAGAUAGAGGUAGUAACUGGCCUUUAUUUGACGGUAAUUACUUAGAAAGUCACGGCUAACUACGUGCCAGCAGCCGCGGUAAUACGUAGGUGGCAAGCGUUGUCCGGAUUUAUUGGGCGUAAAGCGAGUGCAGGCGGUUCAAUAAGUCUGAUGUGAAAGCCUUCGGCUCAACCGGAGAAUUGCAUCAGAAACUGUUGAACGUGAGAGCAGAAGAGGAGAGUGGAACUCCAUGUGUAGCGGUGGAAUGCGUAGAUAUUAGGAGGAACACCAGUGGCGAAGGCGGCUUACUGGACUGUAACUGACGUUGAGGCUCGAAAGCGUGGGGAGCAAACAGGAUUAGAUACCCCUGUAGUC